rnacentral:rRNA from 1 species
GAUGAACGCUGGCGGCGUGCCUAAUACAUGCAAGUCGAGCGAACGGACGAGAAGCUUGCUUCUCUGAUGUUAGCGGCGGACGGGUGAGUAACACGUGGAUAACCUACCUAUAAGACUGGGAUAACUUCGGGAAACCGGUGCUAAUACCGGAUAAUAUUUUGAACCGCAUGGUUCAAAAGUGAUAGACGGUCUUGCUGUCACUUAUAGAUGGAUCCGCGCUGCAUUAGCUAGUUGGUAAGGUAACGGCUUACCAAGGCAACGAUGCAUAGCCGACCUGAGAGGGUGAUCGGCCACACUGGAACUGAGACACGGUCCAGACUCCUACGGGAGGCAGCAGUAGGGAAUCUUCCGCAAUGGGCGAAAGCCUGACGGAGCAACGCCGCGUGAGUGAUGAAGGUCUUCGGAUCGUAAAACUCUGUUAUUAGGGAAGAACAUAUGUGUAAGUAACUGUGCACAUCUUGACGGUACCUAAUCAGAAAGCCACGGCUAACUACGUG